GUUGCAUGGCUGUCGUCAGCUCGUGUCGUGAGAUGUCGGUUAAGUCCGCUAACGAGCGCAACCCUCGUCGUAUGUUAUAUGUGUCAUACGAGACUGCCGGUAAAAAGCCGGAGGAAGGUGAGGAUGAUGUCAAGUCAGCAUGACCUUUAUAUCCAGGGCUACACACACGCUACAAUGGUCUGUACAAUGGGUAGCCAAGCCGCGAGGCGGAGCCAAUCCUGAAAGCAGGCCUCAGUUCAGAUUGCAGUCUGCAACUCGACUGCAUGAAGCCGGAGUUGCUAGUAACCGCAGGUCAGCAAUACUGCGGUGAAUACGUUCCCGGGUCUU
rnacentral:rRNA from 1 species